rnacentral:rRNA from 1 species
AACGCGAAGAACCUUACCAGCUCUUGACAUGCCCGGUAUGGGGCCGAGAAAUCGACUCCUUCAGUUCGGCUGGCCGGUGCACAGGUGCUGCAUGGCUGUCGUCAGCUCGUGUCGUGAGAUGUUGGGUUAAGUCCCGCAACGAGCGCAACCCUCACCUUCAGUUGCCAUCAGGUUAAGCUGGGCACUCUGAAGGAACUGCCGGUGACAAGCCGGAGGAAGGCGGGGAUGACGUCAAGUCCUCAUGGCCUUUAUGGGCUGGGCUACACACGUGCUACAAUGGCGGUGACAGUGGGACGCGAAGGGGCAACCCUUGGCCAAUCUCAAAAAGCCGUCUCAGUUCGGAUUGUCCUCUGCAACUCGAGGGCAUGAAGCUGGAAUCGCUAGUAAUCGCGGAUCAGCACGCCGCGGUGAAUACGUUCCCGGGCCUUGUA